CAGCCGCCGCGGGAAUACGUAGGGUGCAAGCGUUAAUCGGAAUUACUGGGCGUAAAGCGUGCGCAGGCGGUUAUAUAAGACAGAUGUGAAAUCCCCGGGCUCAACCUGGGAACUGCAUUUGUGACUGUAUAGCUAGAGUACGGCAGAGGGGGAUGGAAUUCCGCGUGUAGCAGUGAAAUGCGUAGAUAUGCGGAGGAACACCGAUGGCGAAGGCAAUCCCCUGGGCCUGUACUGACGCUCAUGCACGAAAGCGUGGGGAGCAAACAGGAUUAGAGACCCGCGUAGUCCCUGUCUCUUAUAU
rnacentral:rRNA from 1 species